rnacentral:rRNA from 2 species
GGGUGCGAUCAUACCAGCACUAAUGCACCGGAUCCCAUCAGAACUCCGCAGUUAAGCGUGCUUGGGCGAGAAAAGUGUUUCAAAAAAAAAAAAAAAAAAACAUGUAUGCUUGAA